CUCUGAAUAACUUUGUCCUGAUCGCACGGUCUCUGCACCGGCGACGCAUCUUUCAAAAGUCUGCCUUAUCAACGGUCGACGGUAGGUUCUGCGCCUACCAUGGUUGUAACGGGUAACGGGGAAUCAGGGUUCGAUUCCGGAGAGGGAGCCUGAGAAACGGCUACCACAUCCAAGGAAGGCAGCAGGCGCGCAAAUUACCCGCUCCCGGCACGGGAAGUAAAGACGAAAAAUAACGAUACGACUCAUCCGAGGCCCCGUAAUCGGAAUGAGUACACUUUAAAUCCUUUAACGAGGAUCCAUUGGAGGGCAAGUCUGGUGCCAGCAGCCGCGGUAAUUCCAGCUCCAAUAGCGUAUAUUAAAGUUGUUGCGGUUAAAAAGCUCGUAGUUAAAUCUGUGUCGCACACCGUCGGUUCACCGCUCGUGGUGUUUAACUGGCAUAAUGUGGGACGUCCUACCGGUGGGCUUAGCCUCGCGAGGGGCGGCCCAACUAAUAUCCCGUCGCGGUGCUCUUUACUGUGUGUCGAGUCGGGCCGGUACGUUUACUUUGAACAAAUUAGAGUGCUUAAAGCAGGCUAUCCUCGCCUGAACACUGCGUGCAUGGAAUAAUGGAAUAGGACCUCGGUUCUAUUUUGUUGGUUUUCGGAACCCUGAGGUAAUGAUUAAUAGGGACAGAUGGAGGCAUUCGUAUUGCGACGUUAGAGGUGAAAUUCUUGGAUCGUCGCAAGACGGACAGAAGCGAAAGCAUUUGCCAAAAAUGUUUCCAUUAAUCAAGAACGAAAGUUAGAGGUUCGAAGGCGAUCAGAUACCGCCCUAGUUCUAACCAUAAACGAUGCCAGAUAGCGAUCCGCCGAAGUUCCUCCGAUGACUCGGCGGGCAGCUUCCGGGAAACCAAAGCUUUUGGGUUCCGGGGGAAGUAUGGUUGCAAAGCUGAAACUUAAAGAAUUGACGGAAGGGCACCACCAGGAGUGGAGCCUGCGGCUUAAUUUGAAUCAACACGGGAAACCUCACCAGGCCCAGACACCGGAAGGAUUGACAGAUUGAUAGCUCUUUCUUGAUUCAGUGGGUGGUGGUGCAUGGCCGUUCUUUUUGGUGGAGCGAUUUGUCUGGUUAAUUCCGAUAACGAACGAGACUCUAGCCUGCUAAAUAGGCGUACCUUAUGGUAUCUUGAAGGCCCCCGGCCUCGGCCGGCGGGUUUUUACUACCAACGUACACACAAAUCUUCUUAGAGGGACAGGCGGCUUCUAGCCGCACGAGAUUGAGCAAUAAUGGGUCUGUAAUGCCCUUAGAUUUUUUGGGCCGCACGCGCGCUACACUGAAGG
rnacentral:rRNA from 1 species